rnacentral:tmRNA from 1 species
GGGGGUGUAAUGGUUUCGACUGGCGACUGAUCAUGCCAGUGGUUGCAAGCGGAGCGCCAACUCCUAAAACUAGCAAAAAACAAAACUGCCAAAAAAGAAGAAGAUUUUUCUUCCGACGCAGAUUUCGCCCUUGCUGCUUAGUUAGCUAAGGACGAACGGGCCUCAAGGGUGCCGCUCUUAACUCUUGAACGUCUGUUAUAAAUAGGGGCUAACUUCAGUGGAGGCCGGUGCCUCUGGAGGACAUCUUAGCCGGCUUAGGGGCGCCUAGGGGGGCUACCAACCCAAAACGCCCUGAAAUAAAAAGAGUAGCUAAGCUUGUAGACGCCGUUGGGUGGCUCGUUAGGACGGGGGUUCGACUCCCCCCACCUCCAUUA